rnacentral:rRNA from 1 species
CUACGGGGGGCUGCAGGCGAGAAAACUUUGCAAUGUGCGAAAGCACGACAAGGUUAAUCCGAGUGGUUUCUGCUAAAGGAACCUUUUGACAGUCCUAGAAACACUGUUGAAUAAGGGGCGGGCAAGUUCUGGUGUCAGCCGCCGCGGUAAAACCAGCACCUCAAGUGGUCAGGAUGAUUAUUGGGCCUAAAGCAUCCGUAGCCGGCUCUGUAAGUUGUCGGUUAAAUCUGUACGCUCAACGUACAGGCUGCCGGGAAUACUGCAGAGCUAGGGAGUGGGAGAGGUAGACGGUACUCGGUAGGAAGGGGUAAAAUCCUUUGAUCUAUUGAUGACCACCUGUGGCGAAGGCGGUCUACCAGAACACGUCCGACGGUGAGGGAUGAAAGCUGGGGGAGCAAACCGGAUUAGAUACCCCGGUAGUC